rnacentral:rRNA from 1 species
AGAGUUUGAUCAUGGCUCAGAGUGAACGCUGGCGGCGUGCCUAACACAUGCAAGUCGAACGAGAACGGAUAUAAGUUUACUUAUAUUGUCAGCUAAGUGGCGCACGGGUGAGUAAUAUAUAGUUAAUCUGCCCUGAAGAAGAGAAUAAUUGUUGGAAACGACUUGUAAUGCUCUAUAUGCCUUUAUCACAUAAGUGAGCAAGGGAAAUAUUUAUAGCUUCGGGAUGAGACCGUACGGUAUCAGCUAGUUGGUGAGGUAAUGGCUCACCAAGGCUAUGACAUCUAACUGGUUUGAGAGGAUGAUCAGUCACACUGGAACUGAGACACGGUCCAGACUCCUACGGGAGGCAGCAGUGGGGAAUAUUGCACAAUGGAGGAAACUCUGAUGCAGCAACGCCGCGUGGAGGAUGACACAUUUCGGUGCGUAAACUCCUUUUAUUAGGGAAGAUAAUGACGGUACCUAAUGAAUAAGCACCGGCUAACUCCGUGCCAGCAGCCGCGGUAGUACGGGGGGUGCAAGCGUUACUCGGAAUCACUGGGCGUAAAGAGCAUGUAGGCUGAUUAGUAAGUUGGAAGUGAAAUCCUAUGGCUCAA